AGUGGCGCACGGGUGNGUAACGCGUGGAUAAUCUACCUAUUGGUACGGGACAACAGUUGGAAACGACUGCUAAUACCGUAUAAGCUGGAAACGGGAAAGGGGGCCUCUUCUUGAAAGCUCUCGCCAGUAGAUGAGUCCGCGUUUCAUUAGCUAGACGGUGGGGUAACGGCCUACCGUGGCAACGAUGAAUAGCAGGCCUGAGAGGGUGGCCUGCCACACUGGGACUGGAACACGGCCCAGACUCCUACGGGAGGCAGCAGUGGGGAAUAUUGCGCAAUGGACGAAAGUCUGACGCAGCGACGCCGCGUGGAGGAUGAAGGUUUUCGGAUCGUAAACUCCUGUCAAGAGGGAAGAAACCUAUUAAGAAUAAUACUCUUAGUAAUUGACGGUACCUCUAGAGGAAGCACCGGCUAAUUCAGUGCCAGCAGCCGCGGUAAUACUGAAGGUGCAAGCGUUAAUCGGAAUCACUGGGCGUAAAGCGCUCGUAGGUGGCUUUGUAAGUCAGAUGUGAAAGCCCACGGCUCAACCGUGGAAUUGCAUUUGAUACUGCAUCGCUAGAGUAUAGGAGAGGGAAGUGGAAUUUCUGGUGUAGGAGUGAAAUCCGUAGAGAUCAGAAGGAACACCGGUGGCGAAGGCGACUUCCUGGACUAUUACUGACACUGAGGAGCGAAAGCGUGGGGAGCAAACAGGAUUAGAUACCCUGGUAGUCCACGCCGUAAACGAUGGGUACUAAGUGUCGGAGGCUUGACCUUCGGUGCUGUAGUUAACGCGUUAAGUACCCCGCCUGGGGAGUACGGUCGCAAGGCUGAAACUCAAAGAAAUUGACGGGGGCCCGCAC
rnacentral:rRNA from 1 species